GGCGGCGUGGCCGAGUGGUUUAGGCACGGGCCUGCAAAGCCUGUUACAGCGGUUCGAUUCCGCUCGCCGCCU
rnacentral:tRNA from 1 species